AAUUUUCAAUCCUUUAGAUCAGAUCUAAACCAAAACUGAUUUUCUUUCACAUGCCACUUCCUCCUCUCUCUCUCUCUCUCUCUCUCACGCUUUAUUCACCGAUCUCAAAACUUAACCUAGCGAUCCCCGGCCUCCAUUGAAGCAAGAGAUUUGGUGAGAAGUGGAGCAGAUCAAGCUUCAUUGACGACAUGACCGAGAAGGACGAGCAUGAGGAAGGGGACGACGACGACGAUGAUGAAUACGGCCCCUAUCGUUUAUUCCUCUCUCAUCUCUCCCUCAUCUGCAAACCAGGAAGAAAGCCUCAAAUUCUUUGGUUGUUCUGGGCAAUAUGAAUUCUACAUGGAAUGGAUCUGGGUGUUGUUGGCUGUACAGAUCUUCGAAUUUAGGUUUUGGUUCAACUUCCAGAGAAAAUAGCGGUUCAAGAAGCGGCUGAAAUUCAUCGUUUCAAUCGUGAAGCUUUCUCCUACCGAGCUAUCAAUUGGUAUGAGGUGAAGCUUGUGUUUGUGGCAUGUUACUUGUAUCAAAAAUAUAUGAGGGAGCAAAUUCUGAGGUAUAGAGGAGGCAAAGACCAUCUUGAUUCGUCUGACAAGUCCUCAGCUGGCAAAGGAAAGAUAUUAUGAACAGGUGUACGUAGAUCGAUCGUAAACAGCAACAACUCUAUCAAUUGUGUUGACUUUGUUCAUUCCAAAUCCUUUCUACAUCGUGACAUCAAGCUAGACAAUUUUCUCAUGGGAUUAUGAUGGCAUGCAAAUCAGGUUAUAUGUUUGAUCUUAUUAUUAGAUUAACUAUCUUAAUUUGAUCUGCAGCUUCAUAAUCAUGUCAUAUGAAAUUUGGUAUAAUCAUUUUUCUUGUCUUGGCUCAUUUUGGCUUUUCAAGUUUAGCUGUUUGUUUGCUUUUCAGUUUCGUCUUGCUCUGUUUGUUGCAUAUAUUGAUCAAUGAUAAAGUAUUUGACACUCUGACCAGUUGCUGCAGGGUUCAAGGACAACUCCAUUUGCAGCUCUCGUUCUGCCUUCAGUUUGUCAGUUGAUAACAUUUCAUUCCCCUCAUGUCCUCAUUCAUCUAUUGCUUAGCUUAGUCUACCCUGGCAAUGUGUUGCUGGUGCUUUUGUUUGGUUACUUUCAUCUUUGUAUUUUUUCUUUGAUAUUUAUCAGGUUGUGAUGAAAGAUAUUGGGAUUCAGCUUUAUAAGUUUUUUCCUCUACAUGAUAGUAGGAUAUUCUUUUUGAUUGAUAGUGUUUUCUGCAAAACUUAUAUUUUAAUAUGCUCUAUAUUUCUGUUACUUUUUGUGAUGCAAGCUCUUUGCUAAAGGUUUAGUCUUUUUCUAUAGUUCUAGACUACUUCGAAUAUGCUCUAUAUUUCUAUAUGCUCGCAUAAUUCUUUGUGCAAGAUGGAAACCCCUUGAUUUUAACCCAAAUUGUUAAAUUUUUUGUUGUGGCUUUUGUGUGCAGGACUCUUAUGAGUAUCUAUUUAAAGAGCUUAGCAAGUACAGAGAUGGAUCAUUCUCAGGCUAUAAUUAAAGAGUUGGUGUAUGAAAAGCAAUUGGAUAGGCAAGAAAUGGAUGACUUGAUGAAGCAAGAUGAGCUAGAAGUUGAAAGAAAGUUGAGAAAGCUUUGGCUGAUCUUUGUUUUUUAACAACCUUUGGUUGGUCUUAGAAUUGUGAUUGUUGGUUGGUUAUAGAUGAUGGGUUUCAUAAUAUUUUUCAAUUUAUGAUAUUUGCUGCA